UAUGGCGGCCUUGCCUGUAGUAGCAGUCGAGCGGACAGUGGGAGCUUGCUCCCUGAAGUCAGCGGCGGACGGGUGAGUAACACGUGGGCAACCUGCCUGUAAGACUGGGAUAACUCCGGGGAACCGGGGCUAAUACCGGAUAACUCUUUCCCUCACAUGAGGGAAAGCUGAAAGAUGGUUUCGGCUAUCACUUACAGAUGGGCCCGCGGCGCAUUAGCUAGUUGGUGAGGUAACGGCUCACCAAGGCGACGAUGCGUAGCCCACCUGAGAGGGGGAUCGGCCACACUGGGACUGAGACACGGCCCAGACUCCUACGGGAGGCAGCAGUAGGGAAUCUUCCGCAAUGGACGAAAGUCUGACGGAGCAACGCCGCGUGAGUGAUGAAGGUUUUCGGAUCGUAAAACUCUGUUGUCAGGGAAGAACAAGUACCGGAGUAACUGCCGGUACCUUGACGGGACCUGACCAGAAAGCCACGGCUAACUACGUGCCAGCAGCCGCGGUAAUACGUAGGUGGCAAGCGUUGUCCGGAAUUAUUGGGCGUAAAGCGCGCGCAG
rnacentral:rRNA from 1 species